rnacentral:rRNA from 1 species
UACGGGGGGAGCAAGCGUUGUUCGGAUUUACUGGGCGUAAAGGGCGCGUAGGCGGCCACCGCAAGUCGACUGUGAAAUCUCCGGGCUUAACUCGGAAAGGUCAGCCGAUACUGCGGGGCUAGAGUGCAGAAGGGGCAACUGGAAUUCUCGGUGUAGCGGUGAAAUGCGUAGAUAUCGGAAGGAACAUCAGUGGCGAAAGCGACUUCCUGGACCAGUACCGACGUUCAGGCACGAAAGCGUGGGGAGCAAACAGG